GUGAAUCAUCAAAUUUUUGAACGCAUAUUGCACUCUCUGGUAUUCCGGAGAGUAUGCCUGUUUGAGGAUCAUUUGACAAAAUAUAAAUUCUAAGAUCUAUAGGUAUUUAAAACGGGUUGUUCAUUUUUUGUGGUCGCCUAAACUCAAAAACAAGCUAAUUUUCUUGGGUUGUGUGAUUCUUUCAGUUACCUAGCGACUUAACCAGGAAUUAUCGGGCGUGUU
rnacentral:misc_RNA from 1 species